GAGAAACGGCUACCACUUCCAAGGAAGGCAGCAGGCGCGCAACUUACCCUAAUCUCGAUUCGAGGAGGUAGUGACAAGAAAUACCGAUGCGGGACCCUACGGGUGCCGCGUUCGGAAUGAGUACGAUUCGAACCACCUAACGAGGAACGAUCGGAGGGCAAGUCUGGUGCCAGCAGCCGCGGUAAUUCCAGCUCCAAUAGCGUACGUUAAAGUUGCUGCAGUUAAAAAGCUCGUAGUUGAACGUUCGGGUUCCGCGGGACGGGGCCGCCCCGCGAGGGACGGCGCCGCCCCGGGGCUCGUGAUAUCUCAUCUCGCCGCCCGUCGCGAGGCGGACGGAGGGAUGGAUGAGGUUACCUGGAAAAAAUCGGGGCGAUCUAGGCGGGCGAACCUCGCCAACGAACGAUCGGACAUGGG
rnacentral:rRNA from 1 species